UGGACCAAUGAUGAGAUUGGAGGGUGUCUGAAUCAAAUGUUUUGAUUGAUGCCAUCUAUGACUCUGAGAUCCAC